rnacentral:rRNA from 1 species
GUCCACGCCGUAAACGGUGGGCGCUAGUUGUGGGGACCUUCCACGGUCUCUGCGACGCAGCUAACGCAUUAAGCGCCCCGCCUGGGGAGUACGAUCGCAAGAUUAAAACUCAAAGGAAUUGACGGGGCCCCGCACAAGCAGCGGAGCAUGCGGCUUAAUUCGACGCAACGCGAAGAACCUUACCAAGGCUUGACAUAUAGGGAAAAGCGGCAGAGAUGUCGUGUCCGCAAGGGCUCUAUACAGGUGGUGCAUGGUUGUCGU